UACAGAGGGUGCAAGCGUUAAUCGGAAUUACUGGGCGUAAAGCGCACGUAGGCGGCGCAGCAAGUCAGGGGUGAAAUCCCCGGGCUCAACCUGGGAACUGCAUCUGUGACUGUAUAGCUAGAGUACGGUAGAGGGGAUGGAAUUCCGCGUGUAGCAGUGAAAUGCGUAGAUAUGCGGAGGAACACCGAUGGCGAAGGCAAUCCCUGGACCUGUACUGACGCUCAUGCACGAAAGGCGUGGGAGCAAACAGG
rnacentral:rRNA from 1 species